UACGAAGGGUGCAAACGUUGCUCGGAAUCAUUGGGCGUAAAGCGCACGUAGGCGGUCUAUCAAGUCGGGUGUGAAAGCCCUCGGCUCAACCGAGGAAGUGCAUUCGAAACUGACAGACUUGAAUAUGGAAGAGGGUUGCGGAAUUCCCGGUGUAGAGGUGAAAUUCGUAGAUAUCGGGAGGAACACCAGUGGCGAAGGCGGCAACCUGGGCCAAUAUUGACGCUGAGGUGCGAAAGCGUGGGGAGCAAACAGG
rnacentral:rRNA from 1 species